UUUGACUCAACACGGGAAAACUUACUAGAUCCAGACAUAGUAAGGAUUGACAGAUUAAAAGUUCUUUCUUGAUUCUAUUUGUGGUGUUAUACGACCGUUUUUAGUUAGUGGACCAAUUUGUCUGUAGUUUUCUACAUUAGAACUAAUCUUCACUGCAUGUAAUUAUUAAACAAUGUAUUUUCUAAGAAAACUGUACCUGUGUAAACUUCUAGGAGGUUUGUUUAUCUUCUAUUCUUUUAUAUGUUGGACAAAACUAUUUGAAAGUGAGAAACUGUUAAUCUUAACUAGG
rnacentral:ncRNA from 1 species